UACGUAGGGCGCAAGCGUUGUCCGGAAUUAUUGGGCGUAAAGAGCUCGUAGGCGGCUUGUUGCGUCGACUGUGAAAACCUGCGGCUCAACCGUGUGGUCUGCAGUCGAUACGGGCAGGCUGGAGUUCGGUAGGGGAGACUGGAAUUCCUGGUGUAGCGGUGAAAUGCGUAGAUAUCUGGAGGAACACCGGUGGCGAAGGCGGCAUCCUGGACCGGCACUGACGCUGAGGAGCGAAAGCCAGGGGAGCAAACGGG
rnacentral:rRNA from 1 species